AGCGAACGCUGGCGGCAUGCCUAACACAUGCAAGUCGCACGGGGGGGCUUCGGCCUCCCAGUGGCGGACGGGUGAGGGACGCGUAGGGACCUGUCGAGGGGUGGGGGAUAACCGCGGGAAACUGCGGCUAAUACCGCAUGACGCCGCGGCGUGACAGCCGGGGCCAAAGGCGAAAGCCGCCCGCCGAGGGGCCUGCGUCCGAUUAGCUGGUUGGCGGGGUGGCGGCCCACCAAGGCGUCGAUCGGUAGCUGGUCUGAGAGGGUGAUCAGCCACACCGGGACUGAGACACGGCCCGGACUCCUACGGGAGGCAGCAGUGGGGAAUAUUGGACAAUGGGCGCAAGCCUGAUCCAGCAAUGCCGCGUGGGUGAAGAAGGUCUUCGGAUUGUAAAGCCCUUUCGGCGGGGACGAUGGUGACGGUACCCGCAGAAGAAGCCCCGGCUAACUUCGUG
rnacentral:rRNA from 1 species